GAGUUUGAUCCUGGCUCAGAACGAACGCUGGCGGCAGGCCUAACACAUGCAAGUCGAGCGAGACCUUCGGGUCUAGCGGCGGACGGGUUAGUAACGCGUGGGAACGUGCCCUUUACUACGGAAUAGUCCCGGGAAACUGGGUUUAAUACCGUAUACGCCCUUCGGGGGAAAGAUUUAUCGGUAAAGGAUCGGCCCGCGUUAGAUUAGAUAGUUGGUGGGGUAAUGGCCUACCAAGUCUACGAUCUAUAGCUGGUUUGAGAGGAUGAUCAGCAACACUGGGACUGAGACACGGCCCAGACUCCUACGGGAGGCAGCAGUGGGGAAUCUUAGACAAUGGGCGCAAGCCUGAUCUAGCCAUGCCGCGUGAGUGACGAAGGCCUUAGGGUCGUAAAGCUCUUUCGCCAGGGAUGAUAAUGACAGUACCUGGUAAAGAAACCCCGGCUAACUCCGUGCCAGCAGCCGCGGUAAUACGGAGGGGGUUAGCGUUGUUCGGAAUUACUGGGCGUAAAGCGCACGUAGGCGGACUGGAAAGUUGGGGGUGAAAUCCCGGGGCUCAACCUCGGAACUGCCUCCAAAACUACUAGUCUAGAGUUCGAGAGAGGUGAGUGGAAUUCCGAGUGUAGAGGUGAAAUUCGUAGAUAUUCGGAGGAACACCAGUGGCGAAGGCGGCUCACUGGCUCGAUACUGACGCUGAGGUGCGAAAGUGUGGGGAGCAAACAGGAUUAGAUACCCUGGUAGUCCACACCGU
rnacentral:rRNA from 1 species